UACGGAGGAUCCAAGCGUUAUCCGGAAUUACUGGGCGUAAAGAGUUGCGUAGGUGGCAUAGUAAGCAGACAGUGAAAGCGUGUGGCUCAACCAUACAUCCAUUGCCUGAACUGCUAAGCUAGAGUAUGAGAGAGGUAGAUGGAAUUCCCAGUGUAGGAGUGAAAUCCGUAGAUAUUGGGAGGAACACCGAUGGCGUAGGCAGUCUACUGGCUCAUUACUGACACUCAGGCACGAAAGCGUGGGGAGCAAACGGG
rnacentral:rRNA from 1 species